CGGACGGGUGAGUAAUGUCUGGGAAACUGCCCGAUGGAGGGGGAUAACUACUGGAAACGGUAGCUAAUACCGCAUAAUGUCUACGGACCAAAGCGGGGGACCUCCGGGCCUCGCGCCAUCAGAUGAACCCAUAUGGGAUUAGCUAGUAGGUGGGGUAAUGGCUCACCUAGGCGACGAUCCCUAGCUGGUCUGAGAGGAUGACCAGCCACACUGGAACUGAGACACGGUCCAG
rnacentral:rRNA from 1 species